rnacentral:rRNA from 1 species
GGGGGGGGGGGGGGGGGGGGGUGGCAGGUGGAGGGCGGGCGGGAAAGCUCCUGGUUGCAUGCGUACUGGCGUGGCGAGGGGGGGGGUCGCGAGUGGGUGCUGUGGAGUGCAGUUCGGGAUAAGCCUUGGAACGUGAGUGUGAUCCCGUCUUGGGCGACAUAUUGUGUGGUGUGUUGGAAAGGUGUUCGGUGUGGGCUGAGCUCGCGGUCUAUCAGCUUAUUGGUGUGGUAAUGGCCUACGCAGGCGUCGACGGCUAGCCGGCAUGAGAGGUUGUACGGCCACAUUGGGACUGAGAUGCGGCCCAGACUCCUACUGGAGGCAGCAGUGGGGAAUAUUGCACAAUGGGCGCAAGCCUGAUGCAGCGACGCCGCGUGGGGGAUGACGGCCUUCGGGUUGUAAACUCCUUUCGCUAGGGACGAAGCGCAAGUGACGGUACCUGGAGAAGAAGCACCGGCUAACUACGU